GAUAAUCAUCUAAUUUAUUUUAAGGACUUAAAUUCGAAUAUAAUUAUUUUCUUUAUGUUUUGCUUAGUUUUACUUAUUUUUUUGCUUAUCUUUUUCUUGUUUAUUUUUUUGUUAUAUUUUUUUUAAGGUCAUCAUAAUUCUUCUAUCUUUUAUAAAUUUUGGGAUGGUUUAAGUUUUUCCGCUUUGUGUAUCCCUUAUAAUUAUUAUCAACUUUAUGAUGUACUAUUUUAUAUAUUUUGAUGUAAG
rnacentral:lncRNA from 1 species